GGUUUGAUCAUGGCUCAGAUUGAACGCUGGCGGCAUGCUUUACACAUGCAAGUCGAACGGCAGCACGAGUGCUUUGCACUUGGUGGCGAGUGGCGAACGGGUGAGUAAUACAUCGGAACGUGUCUUAAAGUGGGGGAUAACGCAUCGAAAGAUGUGCUAAUACCGCAUAAUCUCUAAGGAGAAAAGUAGGGGAUCGAAAGACCUUACGCUUUNGGAGCGGCCGAUGUCUGAUUAGCUAGUUGGUAGGGUAAAGGCUUACCAAGGCAACGAUCAGUAGUUGGUCUGAGAGGAUGGCCAACCACACUGGGACUGAGACACGGCCCAGACUCCUACGGAAGGCAGCAG
rnacentral:rRNA from 1 species